rnacentral:rRNA from 1 species
CAGUCGCCACGGGAAUACAGAGGGUGCGAGCGUUAAUCGGAUUUACUGGGCGUAAAGCGUGCGUAGGCGGCUUUUUAAGUCGGAUGUGAAAUCCCUGAGCUUAACUUAGGAAUUGCAUUCGAUACUGGGAAGCUAGAGUAUGGGAGAGGAUGGUAGAAUUCCAGGUGUAGCGGUGAAAUGCGUAGAGAUCUGGAGGAAUACCGAUGGCGAAGGCAGCCAUCUGGACUAAUACUGACGCUGAGGUACGAAAGCAUGGGGAGCAAACAGGAUUAGAUACCCCCGUAGUCCCUGUCUCUUAUAA